rnacentral:rRNA from 1 species
CAGUAGCGUAUAUUAAAGUUGUUGCGGUUAAAAAGCUCGUAGUUGGAUUUCUGCUGAGAACGACCGGUCCGCCCUUUGGGUGUGUAUCUGGCUCUUUCUUGGCAUCUUCUUGGUGAACGUUGCUGCACUUGACUGUGUGGAGCGCUACCCAGGACUUUUACUUUGAGGAAAUUAGAGUGUUUCAAGCAGGCAUACGCCUUGAAUACAUUAGCAUGGAAUAAUAAGAUAGGACCUCGGUUCUAUUUUGUUGGUUUCUAGAGCUGAGGUAAUGAUUAAUAGGGAUAGUUGGGGGCAUUCGUAUUUAACUGUCAGAGGUGAAAUUCUUGGAAUUGUUAAAGACGGACUACUGCGAAAGCAUUUGCCAAGGAUGUUUUCAUUG